rnacentral:misc_RNA from 1 species
GGAAAAUGUUAAGAAAAGGACGUUUUCCAUCUGAAUCUUUAAAGCUUGAAUUUAUUGCCACAAAUUCGAUUGAGAAUGAAAGGAAAUCAUCGCCAAAACAAACUAAAAGAUCUACUCGACAGAACCAAAUUAAAAAAAAUGAGAAGGGAAAACAAAAACACAAAAUAGAUACAUAUGAGAUAUGUUUACCUGCCGAAACUUUGUUUUCUGGUAAUUUUUACAUUUUAUACAAUGAAAAAAAUUUUCUCCCCGGCGGGGAAUCGAACCCCGGUCUCCCGCGUGACAGGC